rnacentral:snRNA from 1 species
AUUGCUUCUCAGCCUUUUGGCUAAGAUCAAGUUUAGUAUCUGUUCUUAUCAGCUUAAUAUCUGAUACGUCCUCUAUCUGAGGACAAUAUAUUAAAUGGAUUUUUGCAGUUGGAGUUGGAAUAGGCGCUUUCUCCAUCCACUCCAUGCACCAACCUGGUAUUGCAGUACCUCUAGGAACGGUGCACCCCCU